AGAUUAAGUUAUUAAGGGCGCACGGUGGAUGCCUUGGCACUAGAAGCCGAUGAAGGACGUUACUAACGACGAUAUGCUUUGGGGAGCUGUAAGUAAGCUUUGAUCCAGAG
rnacentral:rRNA from 2 species